rnacentral:rRNA from 1 species
GCUUGUCUCAAAGAUUAAGCCAUGCAUGUCUAAGUACAAGCCUCAGUAAGGUGAAACCGCGAAUGGCUCAUUAAAUCACACCUAAUCUACUGGAAAGUUACUAGUUACUUGGAUAACUGAGGUAAUUCUUGAGCUAAUACAUGCGAAAAAUCUCGACUCACGGAGAGAUGCUUUUAUUAGAUCAAAACCAAACGGCUUCGGCCGUCUCAUUGGUGACUCUGAAUAACUUAACGAAUCGCAUGGCCUUGCGCCGGCGAUGGUUCAUUCAAAUUUCUGCCCUAUCAACUUUCGAUGGUAGGAUAGUGGCCUACCAUGGUAUCAACGGGUAACGGGGAAUUAGGGUUCGACUCCGGAGAGGGAGCCUGAGAAACGGCUACCACAUCCAAGGAAGGCAGCAGG